UUCAGAAUGAAUGAGAAGGACAUGCAAAUGGGAAGAAGAAAGAGAGCCCACGGUUGUUGAGCCUACAGGACAUUCUCAAACACUGAGAAUAGGAAGACUGACAAAGAUCAUUUAGGAAAUAUCUCAUAGACUACGCUGUUGUUCGCAUAGCUCAGAACUCCAAGUGAUUUUGUUGACAAUUGAAAUGUUGUUAUAAUUGAAAAUACUUUGUUAACAUCCUAUGGCCAUGUCAUGUGAGCAUUCAUAAUGUGAUGGCACAGAAAAGCACCAGAAGCAGUGCAUUUAUUCUGCACUUUAGAUGUCAUAAAAAGGCUUUGCAGAAGACCGG
rnacentral:lncRNA from 1 species